AGGAUUUCAGAAUCAUGCAAGCCAGAUGCAAAACCUGAAGGAUUCACUGUGGAGAGAGUACAGAACUGGAUGUAUAGAAAGAUCUCAAAGCACUUCUCAGGGUCAAAAGGAGGUAACGUUUUGGAGGCUGAAGUAUUCCUGGCUCUGACAUCAGCAGCUGUUAAUAUGGAGGUACACACACUGUGGUGAAAUGAUUAAAUAUAUCCACUCCACCUACACAAUUCUGGGUGCUGCGAAUACAAGCCCAGGCCCAUUGCAUUAAAGAAAUGACCAUAUUUCCUCCAACACUAACAGUAAUUCAGUGUCUCUGGACUAGUAGCAUCUGGCAUGAAGCAUGCAUGUUGUUUCCAGAAACCCAGGACGGAAGGGCAUUUUAAAGCAAACAAAAAGUUGAAAUGCUCUGAUUCCAGCGAGCACUUGGAAGAAGGAUUUGAGUGCAGGGUGUGGAAAUGCAGCCAGCACUUGAACUAACCCCAGGCUGUGUAAUGUAUCACAGCAGCUAUGUAAAACAAGGACUCUUUUACACUUCAGCCCUCUCCCUCCAACGGGAUGUUGCGCUGAGUUGAGUGUUACAUGACUUUGAUGUUCGCCAUACAGACCCCAUAUUUGUUCAUGUUUAUAUGUUCUGACAGUGAAGGAAUGGCUCUGCUUAACAUCCCCUGGGUUUCCUUGCGGACAGUUUUAAACAUCACACAGCCUGUCCAACAGCCAGUCUGACCCAGCCAGCCAGCACUUGUGUCUGACGGAGCAAUGGAUGAGAUCACUGAUCGCUUGCGUAGAUUUCAGACCUACAGCGACUGCUGCAUGAAGAUAUUUGGAAAGUUCCUAUCCCGUCCAAAUAGGGAUAGGAAAGUACUAAGGUGAAUGUAAGAGGUCAGCAAACUAGUACUUGCCUCCUUUAAAAAAGAACAAAAAACACCCAGCGUGUUUCAAAUAUAUACAGUAGCCGGUCUGAGGAGCUAUUCAAGAAUAAAAAUCUCUGAGUAAUUACACUGGCUGUGCAAGCUUAGUGAGCCAGAUCCUCCCUCCUGAUUACAUUUAUUCAAUCUCAGUGAAUCAGCUGCGCUUCAUUGUCCAUUCACAUUGCCUGAAACUCCACUGACCUUGCUGGAAUUAUUCCUGAUUCACACCAGGGUUAACAGGCAAAAAACCAACAAGAAAGAAAGAACAAAUGUAAAAUCUCCAGAAGGCAGAAGAUGGCAUAUGUGUGUCUGAAGGAUAUUUCACCUGGUUCCCAGCCAGCUGUGUUUAUCUGUAUAGGAAGCAUUUCUGAAUAAAAUGGACUGACCGUGAAAUCAAUAGGAUGAUGAUCUUCAUGGUGACUUAAAGGGCUUAAAACGGGAGAACUUUCAGAGGGAGAAACCACCAACUAACCAUACAGAGAGAGAAGGAAUGGAAAAAGAGGAGAAGAAUACACAUAUUUAAGAAAGGAACCUGAACUGUAAGUCCCAAAUUGUUCAAACAUUGUCAACACUGGGUGAAAUUCACCUUUGUGCAGAGGACCAGAACAAGGCCCAUGUAUCUCUUAUGUCCCACUUAAAUCCUCCCAACUGGGAUCUUGUUUUUCAGAACUGAGGCCCCUUCCCAUUUCUCUCCUAAUUUUUCUCUCCAUGGUCUGAAAUAGAGAAUUAAAAAUGAUGUCACAUCCAAAAAGAGAGCCCAACCCACUGGAACUGUGUUUGUUUUCGGUGUCAAUGGGGUUAAAUGUAACAAGCCAAAAUCUUCAUUAAAAGGCAAGUUAGCUCAAGUGUCCAGUAGGCCAAACUGCAAGGAAGUGACAUCUAGGGAUAAUGAAUUCAUUACACAGCUGUGUAAAUGACAUAAAUCCAUUUAUAUCAAAUAUCUCCUCUAUGAGAGACUAUCCAACCUCUUCCAGUUAUUAGAAAUGCUGGACAAAGCCAAGAAGGGGACCCCAUGGUGUUAUUGCUAAACAAAUGCGGUAAGAGGAGAUGGGGAGCCAGGGAAAUCCUGAUGUACAUGUGUGCUUCCCUCAGGCUGAUUGUGUUCCUGAUUACAGGAGAUUAGUCAGCUUUUGGCUAGUAGCAAAGCUCUGCUGUGAAGAUGAAACCAGAGUGGAAUUAGUUGACCCCCAAGCUGUCUUCACUCAGUAAACAAGAUGGAAAAAACUGGAUCAAAACUAAAGCCAAUGUUGGUGGCUUGUACAAUUGAACUGAAUAUUUGGGGUAAACAUGAAUCUAUUCUGUUUGCUUCAGACAGCUCAGUCUUGCUACAUCUCAUUGGUAGCAUUCACAGCAGCCAAGAAAGGCAGAACCAUUUCAGACAGAAGAGAUCCAUUCCACAGCAUAUGACAGAGCAAUAAAAAUCAGCCUCAGUCUUUCAUAAAGGACUGGGAGCCUGAAGCCACCUGAGAAGUGGUUUGAAGUGGUGUAAAAUUAAAUGUAUGUUCGUUCUUGAGUUCAGAAUGGGUUUUCUUCAACUCAGACAGGCAAGGACUGAGGGACGGCAGAAGCUGUGACAACCAGGGUAGAGGUAUUAGGGAUCUGAUUUGCCAUGUCAUUCGAAUAACACAGUGAUGUAUCAGGCCCUAGAAGGAAACAAUAAAUAGGACCAGAUCCUCAGCUGAUGUAAAUUGGCCCAACUCCACUGAAGUCAAUGGAGCUAGGCCCAUUUACAUCAGCUGAGCAUCUGGCU